GAGAAGGGGAAAAAAAAACAAAGAUCUUCCAUUCACUGGUUCACUCCCCAAGUGGCUGCAAUGGCCCAAGAUGAGCCAAUCCAAAGCCAGGAGCCAGGAGCGUCUUCUGGGUCUCCCAAGCGGGUGCAGGGUCCCCAGGUCUUAAGCCAUCCUCUACUGUUUUUCUAGGCCAUAAGCAGGGAGCUGAAUGGGAAGUGGAGCAGCCAGGACACGAAUCUGAGCCCAUGUGGGAUGCUGGCGGUUGCAAGACUACCUGCCUGUCAGAAUCCUGCUGAAAUACAAUGCCCAGUCAGGGAAAUGAAAAUGCUAAAUACUGAGCAGCGACCAUUUGAGACACUUGCAAAGGGAGAACAUCACCAUCAGGUACAUGGGCCCAAGAGGCUCAAGUCAGAAGCCUCCUCCAUUUGGUAUGCCUUAGGAGAGGUAAGAGAAGGAACAGUCACCGUAAGUAUGCUUUUCCUCUAGGUCAUGCCUGCAGGGCUGUUUGGAAGGAAACAAGAUUGUCCUCCUUAAAUACUAAGGUUCAUCCGCUGAGGAAAGCAGUCCUCCAAACCACAUGACUUCAAACACCCUCCCAGCCAAACAGGGAAAUUUGUGCCUUCUAUACAACAGGAUGUAUUAACAGCUCUGGAAACAUUUUUUGUAGCUCUCUAAGAUAUGCCCACCCAGAUUCAUGCUGCAUCUGAAGCCACACCGAGCCUUGAUCAGUAGUUCUAAGCCCUGGUUUGGCACUGAAAGUCCCUGGGGACAAAAUGCUAAUCCUCCUUGCAUUCUGGCUGUAGGGAUAUCAGCAAAUUGUUGCACUGAGAGUUGUUAUGAAAUCAGGAAAGACCUAUGUUGGACCUAGCUCUUCUAUAACCUUGCUCUGCAUGUCUUUGUAUAUAGGGAUUCAGCCCUCUCCCACUUCCUAGUGGUUAGUCAUGGUGAGCUUGCUGCUUGGUCAUGAUGAGGCAGGCAGUCCCAACCUGGGCUAGAUGAUUUGUAUUGCAAGGGCUUGCAGCCUGGCACGACACAAAUUCAAGGCACUAAUGCUUGUUUAGGGAGCUGGUAGUUGUCGAUACCCUAAUGUCCAUGGCUUGGGAAGAUAACACUUAAAAAUAUUUUUUCCCUUAUUUAUUCAAAAGACGGUGACAGGCA